rnacentral:lncRNA from 1 species
GGUGCAUGCCACCACACCCUGCUAAUUUUUUGCAGUUUUAAUAGAGAUGGGGUUUCACCGUGUUAGCCAGGAUGGUCUCUAUCUCCUGACCUCGUGAUCCCCCUGCCUCAGCCUCCCAAAGUGCUGGGAUUACAGGCGUGAGCCACUGUGCCCGGCCGCUAGAAUUUAAUUUUUAUCAGAUAUAUAAAUACUAGUUUGAAGUCAAGUAAUACUACAAAGCUUAUAAUGAUGAACAGCAGCUCCCUGACUCACCAAACCCUUGCAAUUCUCAAUCCUCAGGAGUAAUAACUCUCAACUCUUAGAGCUCUUUCUUAUGGUAAUUAACUAUUAAUUCAUGCUCAUACUGUUAUUUUAUUGGUUUUCAGGUUUCAGAUAUUCUCCACUAACUAGGAAGAUGAUUUUGCUUUCAGACCACACAGACACUCAUCGCCCCUCUUGCCACCCAUCCUUUAAAUUUGAUUGUUUUUUCCUUCUGGGGUUCAAUCAAUAUUCAUUGUUUACAUUGUUUUAAUUAUGCAAAUAUCACUACUUGAGGCAUACCACAUACUCUAAUUACAUUUCUGUUAGUUUUCCUUUAACUGAAAACGUCUUAAUUUCACCUUCAUUCUUGAAUGAUAUAUUUGGUGGAUAUAGAAUUUUGAGCUGACAGUUCUUUUCUUUCAACCCCUAAUGAUGUUCUACUGGCCUCUAUGAUUUCUGAUGAGAAGUCCAAGUCAUUCAAAUCCUUGUCUGCCUUAAAUUUGUUGUUUUCUCUGUUUUCAAGAUUUUCUCAGUUUGCUUUUUUUUUUUUUUUUUUUGAGACAGAGUCUCGCUCUGUCACCCAGGCUGGAAUGCAGUGCUGAGAUCUUGGCUCACUGCAACCUCUGCCUCUUGGGCUCAAGCAAUUCUCUGGCCUCAGCCUCCCUAGUAGCUAGGAUUACAGGCACCUGCCACCAUGCCUGGCUAAGUUUUGUAUUUUUAGUAGAGACAGGGUUUCACCAUCUUGGCCAGGAUGGUCUUGAACUCCUGACCUCAGGUGAUCCACCAGCCUCGGUCUCCCAAAGUGCUGGGAUUACAGGUGUGAGCCACUGCGCCCAGACUAUUUUGCAUUUUUAAUAGUUUGAUCAUGAGGUGCUUAGGCAUAGUUCUCUUCAAAUUUAUUUUGUUUGGGGCUUAUUGAGUAUAUUUAUUUAUUUAUGAGAUGGAGUCUCACUCUGUCACCCAGGCUGGAGUACAGUGGCAUGAUCUCGGCUCACUUGCAACCUCCACCUCCUGGGUUCAAGCAAUUCUCGUGCCUUGGCCUCCCAAGUAGCUGGGACUACAGGCAUGCACCACCAUUUUUUUGUGGCUAAUUUUUGUAUUCUUAGUAGAGAUGGGGUUUCACCAUGUUGACCAGGCUGGUCUUGAACUCCUGAUCUCAAGUGACCUGCCUGCCUCGGCCUCUCAAAGUGCUGGGAUUACAGGCGUGAGCCACUGCGUCUGACCUUAUUGAGCUUUAAUCUGUAAACUUAUUUACUAAAGUUGGGAUGUUUUCAGUUAUUAUUUCUUUAAAUAUUUUUCUUCCAUGUUGUCUUUCCUAUCAAUUUUUUUCUGUCCUUCAGAUUUCAUUAUUUCUAUUAUCCAACUUCAUCUUCACUCACUCUUUUGUUGGUUUUUAAAAAAUUUUUUUUUCUAUUUUUUUCUUUUUUCACUGACUUUUCUUUUUCAAUUCUGUUUUACUAGUAAGCUCAUUGCUCUGGUUUUAAUGUGUCCCCCAAAAUUCAUGCAUUGAUACUUAAUGGACAAUGUGAUGGUAUUAAGAAUUGGGGCCUUUAGUAGGCAAUUAAGUCAUAAGGUUGGAGCCCUCAUGGAUGGGGUUAGGGUCCUUAAUAAAAGAUCUUGCAGGAGUGGGCUCAUUCUCUUCUGCUCUUCCACCACGUGAGGACAUAGCAUUCAUUCCUUCUGGAGGAUACAGCAAAAAGAUACCAUCUCAGAAACAGAGAGCAGCCCAUAGCAGACACCAAACCUGCCUUGAUCUUGGACUUCCCAGUCUUCAGAACUGUGAGAAAUAAAUUUCUAUUAUUUAUGCAUCACCCAAUUUCAGUUAUUUUGUUAUAGCAGCUCAAAUAGAAUAAGACACCCAUCUAGUGAUUAUUUUUUUUUUUGGAGACAGAGUCUCACUCUUGUUGCCCAGGCUAGGGUGUAGU